ACCCUGCGUAAGAAGUGUCAGGCCAGGCAGAAUAGGAAUCUUCUGGCAAUACAGCUUAAAAGGUCUCUCUUCAACUAAAUAGCCUGACCUGCCUCUCUUAUCUCCUUGCAGGCAGAAUUGUCAUACUUGGAUAGAAGCUAACAGUGCUACCUAUCUGUCCCCAUAAUACUAUUUCUUUUCCAUUCCUUUCUAGGAUGAAAUAAGAAGAAGCGACUGCCCAAACCCAAGUGCUCCCUAUAGUCCAAUUGUUGGCAGUAAAAAUGACAUCUUUUCAAUAGCAAGGUUUCAUCCAAGAAGAGAAACCAUUCAUGUGGCUUUCAGGAAUGAUGUUGGUGAUUUUAUAAAGAACAGUAUUGAUGGAUCCCAGAGAUAUGAAAGGGCAGGUAAAUGAGUCAGUUCUCUGAAUAUCCUCUAGCCAGCCAUUGUUGAAGCAUUUCCCUUAAGAAAGGAUGCUCCGUGAAUGAGAGGCAUGUGG
rnacentral:lncRNA from 1 species